rnacentral:rRNA from 1 species
UAGGGAAUCUUCCGCAAUGGGCGAAAGCCUGACGGAGCAACGCCGCGUGAGUGAUGAAGGUCUUCGGAUCGUAAAACUCUGUUAUUAGGGAAGAACAAAUGUGUAAGUAACUAUGCACAUCUUGACGGUACCUAAUCAGAAAGCCACGGCUAACUACGUGCCAGCAGCCGCGGUAAUACGUAGGUGGCAAGCGUUAUCCGGAAUUAUUGGGCGUAAAGCGCGCGUAGGCGGUUUUUUAAGUCUGAUUUGAAAGCCCACGGCUCAACCGUGGAGGGUCAUUGGAAACUGGAAAACUUGAGUGCAGAAGAGGAAAGUGGAAUUCCAUGUGUAGCGGUGAAAUGCGCAGAGAUAUGGAGGAACACCAGUGGCGAAGGCGACUUUCUGGUCUGUAACUGACGCUGAUGUGCGAAAGCGUGGGGAUCAAACAGG